CAGAAACCCUAGCCCUCUCCCAUCUCCUCCCUCGCGCCGCCAUCUUCUUCCUCUUCUCCCCAUCUUUCUCCUUUCUCUGUGAACAAAACAAAGGGGAAAACCCCACAGUACCUCCUCCACUCACCAUGGUGCUGCCGCCACGGACGCUCCCACGCCGGCCGAAGGUACCGGAAGAUGCGCCUCGUCGUCCUCAUCAUCCUCCCCGAAGGAAUCGAGCCGGGGCUCGCUCAAUCGACGGUGAAAUCGCCGUUCCCUUCUCCAACUCCGGCGAGUUCGUCGUUGAUUCCGGCGGCUAUGGCGCGUCCCCAGCCUCCUCGUCUGCGCCAAGAGCAUCGGGGUCGACGUCGCCGGCGACUCUCCGGCGAGCCCCUAGACUUCGUACCGGCACCAUCAAGUUCUCCACGUUCAUGCGCAGCCCCGAGACCAACUCAUCCGUCCCGGUUCGUUCCCAGGCGUCGAAUGCAUCUCCAACCAGAUCUCCCGGCCAUGGCUGUAACGUUGAAGCUCGUCCCUGGCAUCGUUUGGUUCAAGUUGUCACGCGCCAGCGUGUUGAUAAGAUCUGAACAGUAGCCCAGUGGUGGCCCCUAUCUGUCAUUGACCUUGGCUAGUGCUUCAUUCGGUGAGAAGACCUGCAGCAGUGCCGCCUCGUCAGCGCAUCCAGUCAGCAUCCCUGGUCCCGCCAGUCAGCCCCUGUGGCUAGAACCUCCUUGGUAUAAAACGCUUUUCCUAUUUUCUCUAUUUUCUGAAAAUUGCUGAAUAUGUUCAAAUCUUGCAAAAAUCAUAUCUCCUAAACCGUAACUCGAAAUAAAAAGUGUUCUAUAUGAAAGUUGAUCAGAAAAAUGCAAGGAUCAUGAAUAUGUCAUCCAUAUGCCUGUUUGCAUUUCACAUCAUGUCGCCGUUGAUAGUUGUGCAUUUCCACCUCACAUAUAUGCGGAGUAUUUUGGAUUUCCAACUAGGAAUUCCCCGCUCCGCUUAAUAUUGAAGUAGCUCACCCCUGCCAUGAUAUGCCAUGUUAUCCAACCCUUAACUUUGCCGGUAGAAAUGCAACUCCAACCUUAAUUUGCUUGUCCGGGGUUCCGACUCCGAUUAAAUUGG